UACGAAGGGGGGCUAGCGUUGCUCGGAAUCACUGGGGCGUAAAGGGGUGCGUAGGCGGGUUUUUUAAGUCAGAGGUGAAAUCCUGGAGCUCAACUCCAGAACUGCCUUUGAUACUGAAAGUCUUGAGUAUGGGAGAGGUGAGUGGAACUGCGAGUGUAGAGGUGAAAUUCGUAGAUAUUCGCAAGAACACCAGUGGCGAAGGCGGCUCACUGGCCCAUAACUGGACGCUGAGGCACGAAAGCGUGGGGAGCAAACAGG
rnacentral:rRNA from 1 species